CCGCCGCCCAGGCCGGGGGUCCCGGGAGGGCCGCUGCUGGAGUCGGCUUCCAAAGAAACGAGGGCGCGUGGGAAAUGGAGAAAAACCAGGUGUCACAGCUCUCUAGUGAGGGGCAGGCAAAGUCAUAAUGGUACAGGACUUUGCCCAAAUACAGAAAGAGUGUUAUAUUGAAAGCAUGAAAUAGGCUGGUGCCAACUACAGCGAAAUAGAAACUGUUUAUUAGCUCUGUUUUAAAUUCAUGAGAGUGAUCAGGAAAUUGAGCUUAUGAGCGUAGACAUCCGUGAUGGCCACGGGAACAGGCUGACCACAGGUGGUAAACACACCUACAAGGUAUCCAUCACAGCUGACAGAAGAAUGGAACAAUGUGAUACCUGGGGCCUGUCAUGCUUGGAGACCCACAUCCCUGGACACCCUCUUCACUGCCCUUUUCGCGUGUAUAAGUACAGCAAGAUUCUGUAAUCUUUGAGGAUGGGUUUUUGAGACAGUCACCUGUCUUCCAAUUUGCCAGCUAAUCUAAUUAAACUUCGUUUCUCAAUCUCUAA